rnacentral:misc_RNA from 1 species
UGUACACACCGCCCGUCACACCAUGGAAGUUGGCCACGCCCGAAGUCGUUACUCCAACCCUUGUGGAGGACGCCGAAGGUGGGGCUGAUGACUGGGGUGAAGUCGUAACAAGGUAGCCGUACCGGAAGGUGCGGCUGGAUCACCUCCUAACAGGGAGACAAACAACGAUCUUGAUGCUUGACUCAAAUUGUAGUUAAGCCGAGAUCCUGUCAUCUCGAUGGUCGAUCGGUACCUCAGGUUGAGAGCUUCAAGGACUGAGCAAUCAGUUUUGUGAAGUGAGUCAAUUUCAGUUCCUAAACGUUGUCUAGGUCACCCCAUAGGGAUGACAAAGUCAGUCAAGUGAUCGUUUCGGUUGUUUGAUUAAUUUUGUUGUUACUGCGAGGUAACGGCUCCUGGGCCAUUAGCUCAGGUGGUUAGAGCGCACCCCUGAUAAGGGUGAGGUCCCUGGUUCAAGUCCAGGAUGGCCCAUUCGUGUUUGGGGGUUUAGCUCAGUUGGUAGAGCGCCUGCUUUGCAAGCAGGAUGUCAGCGGUUCGAGUCCGCUAACCUCCAUAUCAACGACAACCCUCAAGGCACGCUAGGGAGCAUGAAUCCUUAGUGAUUGGCGUGACGUUAGACGAACAGGUGAGAGCUGAGGAGUUCAGCCUCCAAUCAUUCCAGUAUUUCAAAUGGCACGCAACCUGAACGGGUUGUUUGACCGAGAGCUGGUUGAGUGGAUGCUGAAUUCAGCAGUCAAAGACAGCGCGAGCUGUGUUUGGCAUGAAUUCAGCCAAAGAACCUUGACAACUGCAUAGGUGAGUCUGGAAAGAAAGCAUCUCAUGGAUGUCUUGAGUUUCAGCGUCUUUCAAGACAGGUGAAUCCUGCAAGGGAGGAGCUUGAUCUUGGAAGAAACGAGAAGCUUGAGGAGAUUCUAUGAACAGAGCCGAGACCACACAUCGUCUUGUCCCUCGCCGAGAGGAGACGAGUCUGAGGUUGGAGUUCAGGUCAUGGGAACAUGAUGGGAACCCGACCGAAUGAGUUUCAACAACUUAAACGGUGUUGUGGUGAAUAUGGUCAAGCUACAAAGGGCUCACGGUGGAUACCUAGGCACACAGAGA